ACACGACUACAUUAGAUACCCGUGUAGUCCAGGGUGUAAACGCUGCGGGCUUGGUGUUGGGGGUCCUUUGAGGGCGCCCAGUGCCGGAGAGAAGUUGUUAAGCCUGCUGCUUGGGGAGUACGUCCGCAAGGAUGAAACUUAAAGGAAUUGGCGGGGGAGCACCGCAACGGGAGGAGCGUGCGGUUCAACUGGAUUCAACGCCGGACAACUCGCCAGGAGCGACGGUUACAUGAAGGCCAGGCUGAUGACCUUGCCUGAUUUCCG
rnacentral:rRNA from 1 species